GUGUGCAGUUGAAUUCUUGAGCGUGUUUUUGUUCUGUUGGACCUUGACCUGACUACGAAAUCUUUACACCUUGCAGUUACCCGCCUCUGGUCCCAAGAGUCUCCGGUGUCGUAGGAGCAAGGCUCAGUUUUCGAACUUUGUACCAAAGCCUUGUGAGCCCCACGUCAAGAGGGAUCAGGUGUGAAGAGGGCACUUCUCUGGGAGGAGGCUAACACCAGGCUGGACAUGGGAAACUAAGGAGCAAGUCUAAAACAGUACCUUUCCUGAUCUUAGAAGGUUAACCUUCCCGAGCUGUCAAGCAGAGCCAGCCUCAAUAACCCAAGUCCAUGGAAAUCAUAACUGAGAAGGUAAGCUUAUAAAUGCACAGUGAGCAAAAGGGGAA